rnacentral:lncRNA from 1 species
UUUGGGUAGUGUCUCAAUGAAAACUCCAUCUCUCACACACUCAGACAAGUUUUGCUCACAAGCUGGAAUGGGUUGCUCUCUAUUUUUAGUGGGUGACUCUCUUCAGGUGUAGUCAACUGGUGGCUCACACUGGUUAUAGCUUGGUUUCUUUCUCUCACCACUGUUUUGACCCACCUUUUCACACAACCCAUCAAAGAACUUGUGCAACCCAUUAAAAUGACAACCCUUGAUAACAGACCCAAGCCCAAAACCAUCAUCCCUUUUGAACUCCUAAAUCAUCAUGCCUAGCUGAGGUUCCCU